rnacentral:rRNA from 1 species
UGGGUAAUCUUUGAACGUGAAUCGUGCUGGGGAUAGAUGAUUGCAAUUAUUCAUCUUCAACGAGGAAUUCCUAGUAAACGCAAGUCAUCAGCUUGCAUUGAUUACGUCCCUGCCCUUUGUACACACCGCCCGUCGCACCUACCGAUUGAAUGGUCCGGUGAAAUCUUCGGAUCUGAGAGAUAUUGGAUUCAUUUCUGACGUCUUUUAGAAAAGUUGCUUAAACCUUAUCAUUUAGAGGAAGGUGAAGUCGUAACAAGGUUUCCGUAGGUGAACCUGCGGAAGGAUCAUUA